rnacentral:rRNA from 1 species
GGAAAUCGAGUCAGGUCUUAUGGCCACCUCCCACCCGUGACUAUUGUACCUUGUUGCUUCGGCGGGCCCGCCAGCGUUGCUGGCCGCCGGGGGGCGACUCGCCCCCGGGCCCGUGCCCGCCGGAGACCCCAACAUGAACCCUGUUCUGAAAGCUUGCAGUCUGAGUGUGAUUCUUUGCAAUCAGUUAAAACUUUCAACAAUGGAUCUCUUGGUUCCGGCAUCGAUGAAGAACGCAGCGAAAUGCGAUAACUAAUGUGAAUUGCAGAAUUCAGUGAAUCAUCGAGUCUUUGAACGCACAUUGCGCCCCCUGGUAUUCCGGGGGGCAUGCCUGUCCGAGCGUCAUUGCUGCCCUCAAGCCCGGCUUGUGUGUUGGGCCCUCGUCCCCCGGCUCCCGGGGGACGGGCCCGAAAGGCAGCGGCGGCACCGCGUCCGGUCCUCGAGCGUAUGGGGCUUCGUCUUCCGCUCCGUAGGCCCGGCCGGCGCCCGCCGACGCAUUUAUUUGCAACUUGUUUUUUUCCAGGUUGACCUCGGAUCAGGUAGGGAUACCCGCUGAACUUAAGCAUAUCAAUAAGCGGAGGA